rnacentral:lncRNA from 10 species
GCCCCUGACGAGCCCGAACUCGUCAACUUCCUGUCGGUACUUGAAGAAGCGGAGCCAGGGCUGAGAUCCCGAAGGCGGGCGAGGUCUGGGAUGGGGCGGGGCCUAUGGGAGCGGGGCUGAAGCCCUGGGCCCGGCAGAGGAAGGUCGAGAUGGACCAUGUUGGGCCCCUUCUCUCCCCGCCCCCAGGCCGCAGUUCGGGGGCCACGCCCCGGCGUGCUCGGGUCACCGCGGGAAGCCCUUGAACCCCCUGGCGCCCGGCACCCACGUGCGGUAACCGCGGCUCCUCGAGAGCUCCAGGGAUGCGGAUCUACAGUAAGGGCUGUGGCCAGAUGAAUGAAUGCACAUUUUUUAGUGGGCAGAAAGAUGUUAGAAUUCAUGAAUUAGAAUAAGCACAAAGGAGGGCGAGAGGGGAGGCCGUGGAAGCCGCAUUCCUCCCCUUGCCUUGGGCGCCCACCCCCGAAGGGGCGCGUCCCCUCCCUGCUCCACUGCACGUGGGUGUUUAACCAGGGGAUAUCCAGUGCCUCAAGCACCACGACCCGGGAGAAAACUGAGUUGAGAAGGGUCCAUUCAAGAAUUGUGCCCACAAUAUACCAGGCACUUGUCCAGACCUGCAUCGUCCAAUGCCCACCUCGACCUCCCAAAGUGUUGGGAUUAGAGGCGUGAGCCACCGCGCCCUGCCUGCAUGUGGCUAUUGAGAUGUGCUGUAUGAUACACACCGGACUUUGAAGACUCAGUGUGAAAAAUAAAAAGAAUUUUAAGAGGGGUGGGGGUCGAGGGGAGGCAGAGCAGUAGGACAAAUAGCUAAUGCACGCAGGGCUUAAAACCUAGACAACAGGUUGAUGGGUGCAGCAAACCACCAUGACACAUGUUUAUCUAUAUAGCACCUACAUGUUCUGCACUUGUAUCCUGGAACUUAAAAUUAGAAAAAAAAAAUAAUAAAAGCCAACAUGGCAUUCAUUACUGCCAAAAAAAUUAAAACACA